AAAGGAAUAGACGGGGGCCCGCACAAGCGGUGGAGCAUGUUGUUUAAUUCGAUGCAACGCGAAGAACCUUACCAGGGCUUGACAUCUGAGGAAUCUUCUAGAGAUAGUUGAGUGCCUUUUGGAACCUCAAGACAGGUGGUGCAUGGCUGUCGUCAGCUCGUGUCGUGAGAUGUUGGAUUAAGUUCCGCAACGAGCGCAACCCUCGUGAUAUGUUGCCAUCAGGUAAUGCUGGGAACUCAUAUCAUACUGCUGCAGCAAUGUGGAGGAAGGUGGGGAUGACGUCAAGUCAUCAUGCCCCGUACGCCCUGGGCUACAAACAUGCUACAAUGCCGACUGCAAACCGUCGCAAUACCGUGAGGUGGAGCAAAUCGGAAAAUGGUCGGCUCAGUGCGGAUUGUAGGCUGCAACUCGCCUACAUGAAGUCGGAAUCGCUAGUAAACGUCGGUCAGCAUUACGACGUUGAAUACGUUCCCGGGCCUUGUACACACCGCCCGU
rnacentral:rRNA from 1 species